rnacentral:tRNA from 1 species
GGCUUCAUAGCUCAGUUGGUAGAGCAUCGCACAGGCAUCGCGGAGGUCAUGGGUUCGAUUCCCGUUGAAGCUU